GAUUUCUAAAACGUAUUCAUUAAAAAUUAUAUUUAGGGGACUUCCCUGGUGGCUCAGCGGUUAAGAAUCCGCCUGCCAAUGAAGGGGACACGGGUUCGAUCCCUGGUCCGGGAAGAUCCCACAUGCCACACAGCAACUAAGCCCGUGCGCCACAACUACUGAGCCUGCGCUCUGGAGCCCAUGAGCCACAACUACUGAGCCUGCGUGCCACAGUUACUGAAGCCCGCGUGCCUAGAGCCUGUACUCUGCAACAAGAGAAGCCACCUCAAUGAGAAGCCCAUGCACUACAACGAAGAGUAGCCCCCACUCGCUGCAACUAGAGAAAGCCCGAGCGCAGCAACGGAGACCCAAAGCAGCCAAAAGUAAAUAAAUUAAAAAAAAAAAAAAGACUGAGGGACAGCAUCCGAAAAAGCCUGGCAUUGAGAGAGACCCUUGGUUCCUGGGGAAUUGACAAUACUUCAGCCUUUCUAUCUGCAGCCUGGAGGGAGCAAUGGGGGAGGAGGAGGUAGUGUGGUGCAGUCCUUUAUUAGAGCAGAAAACUCCUAAGCCACUUGUACCCUACUUACGGAAACUGGAAACAUUGGAAAGGAACAAAAAGCUUCUGAGCAGGCAAAGGAACAAAGAAGUACAAGAUGUACGCCAACACUUCACACGUUGGUGCCACCCGACACAACCUCUCAAUUAGCAGAUGCCACAGAUGAGGUCCUGAGAGUGGGACCCUCAUGACGGGAUUAGUGCCCUUAUAAGAAGAGACACCAGAGAGCUUGCUU